GAAAUAAAGUAAAAGUAGGCCCAAAAGCCUUUAGCUAGGAGCAAGAGUUUUAACUUCUGCUAAGCUUGUUUUUCUGUACAGAAGGGCAUGCCAAGGCAGAAAGAUGUGGUCAGGGCCCCAAAAAGAGGAACUAGAAUUGGAUGAGGGGAACCAGAGA